rnacentral:misc_RNA from 1 species
CCAAUAGCGUAUAUUAAAGUUGCUGUGGUUAAAAAGCUCGUAGUUGAAUUUCGGAAUUGAUGCAUCGGUCGUGCCUUAAGGGGCAUGAACUGGUGUAGCCAAUUUCUCACUUUCUGGUGAAUUGUGAUGUUCUUAAUUGGGUGUCUCAAUGAACUGGAAUUUUUUACUUUGUAAAAAUUAGAGUGUUUAAAGCAGGCAUUAAUUUGCUUGAAUACAUUAGCAUGGAAUAAUGAAAUAGGACGGUGGUUCUGUUUUGUUGGUUUCUAGGAUCACGUAAUGGUUAAUAGGGACAGUUGGGGGCAUUAGUAUUCAAUUGUCAGAGGUGAAAUUCUUGGAUUUAUUGAAGACUAACUAUUGCGAAAGCAUUUGCCAAGGAUGUUUUCAUUAAUCAAGAACGAAAGUUAGGGGAUCAAAGACGAUUAAGUACGUCGUAGUCCUAACCAUAAACUAUGCCGACUAGGAAUCAGACGAUGUUAAUUUUUUAAUGACUCGUUUGGUACCUUACG